UACAGAGGUCUCAAGCGUUGUUCGGAUUCAUUGGGCGUAAAGGGUGCGUAGGCGGCUUCGCAAGUCGGAUGUGAAAUCCCAUGGCUCAACCAUGGACGUGCAUUCGAAACUGCGAAGCUUGAGUAUGGAAGAGGGUCGCGGAAUUCCCGGUGUAGAGGUGAAAUUCGUAGAUAUCGGGAGGAACACCAGUGGCGAAGGCGGCGACCUGGGCCAAUACUGACGCUGAGGUGCGAAAGCGUGGGGAGCAAACAGG
rnacentral:rRNA from 1 species